GAACAUCCAAGAAUGAGCAGGAAUAGGAGAAGAUAUAAGUUUAGACAGAAGAAUGGUGGUCAUGUUUCAAACAUUAGAUGCUAUCAUUAUAAGAAUGUCUAGUAAAUCGUUUGGGUCUAGUUAAACAAUUUUAGUAGAAUAAGGUUAAAAAUCAUUAAAGAUUCUUAUAGUGUCUAAUGGUAUUGAUGAUGUUAUGUGGAUAACGAACCAAGAUGUUCACUCC
rnacentral:lncRNA from 1 species